AUUGAACGCUGGCGGAAUGCUUUACACAUGCAAGUCGAACGGUAGAGGGGGCAACCCCUCGAGAGUGGCGAACGGGUGAGUAAUAUAUCGGAACGUGCCCAGUCGUGGGGGAUAACGUAGCGAAAGUUACGCUAAUACCGCAUACGAUCUAAGGAUGAAAGCGGGGGAUCGCAACACCUCGCGCGCUUGAAGCGGCCGAUAUCAGAUUAGGUAGUGGGUGGGGUAAAGGAUCACCAAGCCAACGAUCUGUAGCUGGUCUGAGAGGACGACCAGCCACACUGGAACUGAGACACGGUCCAGACUCCUACGGGAGGCAGCAGUGGGGAAUUUUGGACAAUGGACGCAAGUCUGAUCCAGCCAUUCCGCGUGCAGGAUGAAGGCCCUCGGGUUGUAAACUGCUUUUGUACGGAACGAAAAGGUCUCUCUUAAUACGGGGGGCUCAUGACGGUACCGUAAGAAUAAGCACCGGCUAACUACGUGCCAGCCGCCGCAGUAA
rnacentral:rRNA from 1 species